rnacentral:rRNA from 1 species
ACAUUAGAAGGAUUGACAGAUUGAUAGCUCUUUCAUGAUUUGAUGGGUGGUGGUGCAUGGCCGUUCUUAGUUGGUGGAGUGAUUUGUCUGGUUAAUUCCGUUAACGAACGAGACCUUAACCUACUAACUAGUACGACGUGACGAACGUUAGUUACUUCUUAGAGGGACAAUGUGUAUUUUUAACACAAGGAAGUUUAAGGCAAUAACAGGUCUGUGAUGCCCUUAGAUGUCCUGAGCCGCACACGCGCUACAAUGACACUUUCAAUAAGUUUUUGCUGGUCCGACAGGAUUUCGGCUAAUCUUUUUAGUAAGUGUCGUGCUAGGGAUAGAUCUUUGCAAUUGUGGAUCUUGAACGAGGAAUUCCUAGUAAGCACAAGUCAUCAGCUUGUGCUGAUUACGUCCCUGCCC